rnacentral:rRNA from 1 species
AAUCCUUUAACGAGGAACUAUUGGAGGGCAAGUCUGGUGCCAGCAGCCGCGGUAAUUCCAUCUCCAAUAGCGUAUAUUAAAGUUGUUGCGUCUAAAAAGCUCGUAGUUUGAAAACUUGCCUUGGCUUACAACAGACGUCUAAGGGCGUCACCGUUUGUCGAGAGCAAAUAUGGGUGACUGUUUUUGCCUUCUUCACUGAUUGGCUCGUAAAAGUCAUCGAAGAUCACUUUGAUUAAAUUAGGGUGCUCAAAGCAAGUGUGCUACUUGAAUAUGAAUGCAUGGAAUGAUGGAAUAUGUUGUUGUUCUAUUUGUUGGUUUUUUGAAUGACGAAAUGAUUGAAAGGAACUGUUGGGGGCAUUCGUAUUGUUGUGAGAGAGGUGAAAUUCUUAGACCAUAGCAAGACGAACUACUGCGAAAGCAUUUGCCAAGAAUGUUUUCAUUGAUCAAGAACGAAAGUUAGAGGUUCGAAGGCGAUCAGAUACCGCCCUAGUUCUAACCAUAAACUAUGCCGACUAGCAAUUUGCUUUGUAUUUUUAUGACUAAGUGAGAGGCCACGGGAAACCAAAGUAGGGUUAUGGGGGAAGUAUGGUUGCAAAGCUGAAACUUAAAGGAAUUGACGGAAGGGCACCACCAGGAGUGGAGCCUGCGGCUUAAUUUGACUCAACACGGGAAAACUUACCUGGUCCUGACACUAGAAGGAUUGACAGAUUGAUAGCUCUUUCUUGAUUUGGUGGAUGGUGGUGCAUGGCCGUUCUUAGUUGGUGGAGUGAUUUGUCUGGUUAAUUCCGAUAACGAACGAGACUCUAGCCUAUUAAAUAAUAUGCGGAAUCAAUUUCUCCCGCGUUAUUUCUUAAUGGGAUCAAGCGUGUUUAACGCUUUGAAACAGAGCAAUAACAGGUCUGUGAUGCCCUUAGAUGUUCGGGGCUGCACGCGCGCUACAUUGAAGAACAAAGUGAGCCCUCUGGCUUUUAACAAAGCUAGAAAUCUUUUAAUGUUCUUCUUAAUGGGGAUAGGGGAUUGCAAUUGUGCCCCUUGAACGAGGAAUUCCCAGUAAGUGCUAGUCAUUAGCUAGUACUGAUUACGUCCCUGCCCUUUGUACACACCGCCCGUCGCUACUACCGAUUGAAUAGUUUAGUGAGAUCAUCUGAGUGUUUGUAUGUGCAUUCUGUGCUUGUAUGGUGUACGAAGAAGAUCAAACUUGAUUAUUUAGAGGAAGUAAAAGUC